GCAGUUUGGUAGCACACAGACAGGAUAGCCGACUGUUUUUGUUACACUACCACCUGCUGCCGCUGGAAACAAGUCUUUCCCUGCCACUUUAGUAUCCACUCUACCCUGAAGAAGCAGCAGACCUGAAGGAGUGUUAAACCUACUGUGGCUGAAGCUCAUGCCAAGACUGAAAGAAGCAACUGGCUAACACCAAG